rnacentral:rRNA from 1 species
UACGAAGGGGGCUAGCGUUGUUCGGAAUCACUGGGCGUAAAGCGCACGCAGGCGGAUCGUCAAGUCAGGGGUGAAAUGCCGAGGCUCAACCUCGGAACUGCCUUUGAUACUGGCGAUCUUAGAGUCCGGGAGAGGUGAGUGGAACUCCGAGUGUAGAGGUGAAAUUCGUAGAUAUUCGGAAGAACACCAGUGGCGAAGGCGGCUCACUGGCCCGGUACUGACGCUCAGGUGCGAAAGCGUGGGGAGCAAACAGG